rnacentral:rRNA from 1 species
AUUGAACGCUGGCGGCAGGCUUAACACAUGCAAGUCGAACGAGUGGCGGACGGGUGAGUAAUGCUUGGGAAUCUGGCUUAUUGAGGGGGAUAACUACGGGAACCUGUAGCUAAUACCGCUUACCAUAGGAUGAGCCCCAGUGGGAUUAGGUAGUUGGUGAGGUAAAGGCUCACCAAGCCGACGAUCGCUAGCUGGUCUGAGAGGAUGACCGGCCACACUGGGACUGAGACACGGCCCAGACGCCUACGGGAGGCAGCAGUGGGGAAUAUUGCGCAAUGGGGGCAAGCUGAAGCAGCGAUGCCGCGUGAAUGAAGAAGGCCUUCGGGUUGUAAAGUUCUUUCGGUAGCGAGGCGUUAACUACAGAAGAAGCACCGGCUAACUCCGUGCCAGCAGCCGCGGUAAUAC